UAAUAAUAAUAAUAAUAAUAAUAAUGCAGACAGUGAUUAUACUCCCUUCUCAGUGAUAGCUGGGGAUAAUAUUAAUAAUAAUAAUAAUAAUAAUAUUAUCCCCAGCUAUCACUGAGAAGGGAGUAUAAUCACUGUCUGCAUUAUUAUUAUUAUUAUUA
rnacentral:miRNA from 1 species